rnacentral:rRNA from 1 species
AGUGAACGCUGGCGGUAGGCCUAACACAUGCGAGUCGAACGGCAGCACAGGAGAGCUUGCUCUCUGGGUGGCGAGUGGCGGACGGGUGAGGAAUACAUCGGAAUCUACUCUGUCGUGGGGGAUAACGUAGGGAAACUUACGCUAAUACCGCAUACGACCUACGGGUGAAAGCAGGGGACCUUCGGGCCUUGCGCGAUUGAAUGAGCCGAUGUCGGAUUAGCUAGUUGGCGGGGUAAAGGCCCACCAAGGCGACGAUCCGUAGCUGGUCUGAGAGGAUGAGCAGCCACACUGGAACUGAGAAACGGCCCAGACUCCGACGGGAGGCAGCAGUGGGGAAUAGUGGACAAUGGGCGGAAGCCUGAUCCAGCCAUACCGCGUGGGUGAAGAAGGCCUUCGGGUUGUAAAGCCCUUUUGUUGGGAAAGAAAUCCAGCUGGCUAAUACCCGGUUGGGAUGACGGUACCCAAAGAAUAAGCACCGGCUAACUUCGUGCCAGCCGCCGCGGUAA